UACAGAGGGGUCAAGCGUUAUCGGAAUUACUGGGCGUAAAGCGCGCGUAGGUGGUUUGUUAAGUUGAAUGUGAAAUCCCCGGGCUCAACCUGGGAACUGCAUGCAAAACUGGCAAGCUAGAGUAUGGUAGAGGGUGGUGGAAUUUCCUGUGUAGCGGUGAAAUGCGUAGAUAUAGGAAGGAACACCAGUGGCGAAGGCGACCACCUGGACUGAUACUGACACUGAGGUGCGAAAGCGUGGGGAGCAAACAGAUGAUGAACCGUAACCGUUGUCAGAUCCAAGAC
rnacentral:rRNA from 1 species